ACGCCACCUCAACAUGGCCUGAUGAGCAGUGCCAUAUCCAUGCCCAUGAUUUGAACUGGCGAAACACCAGGCCGCUGCAGUGGGGUGCACGAACUUAACCACUCAGGCAUGGGGCCGGCGCCCCCCUUGACAUUUUUAACAAGUGUCCAGUGAAGUUUUUCUUUAACAGUGUAUGUAUAAUUUGAUUAAGUAAUGCCAGAUUAUUAAAAGGAGUGGUUAUACCAUUUAUAUCACCAUAUAUAUGUGUUAGCAAUGUAUAGGUGUUCCUACAUCCCCACACUUCUAGUGACCCUUAGAAUUAUUUAGAAUUCUAAUGUUUGUGAGUUAACAGAGUUGUGAUAUCUUAUUUUUUUUAAAUUUGCAUUUCUCAAACUAUCAAUGACUCUGAGCACUUUAUUGCAUGUUUGAUAGCUCUUGGGGAUUCCUCCUCUGUAAAUUGUCUCUUCAUAGCCUUUGUCUUUCUUUCUAUUGGGAUUGCUGUUUUUUCUUAUUGCUUUGCAAGAAUUCCUUUUACAUCCAGUCAAGGCCUUAUGAGUUUUAGACAUUCCAAAUACCUUCUCCCAUGCUUUCAAACACUGGUGAACUUUGUCCAUGUUGUCACUUGUCAAACAGAAAUCCACACUUAAAAAACUAUUUUUAACUUCAAACUUGCAGAAAAGUUGCAAAAGUAAUUCAUAAGAACUCCAGUAUGUUAUUUACUCAGACUCACUAAUUUUAGCAUUUUGCUUCAUUUGCUUGUCAUUCUCUCUCUCUCUCUCUCUAUAGAUGCUCAAGUCCCUCAUAUACAAUCGUGUAGUAUUUGCAUAUCACCUACACACAUCCUCCAGCGUACUUUAUAUCAUCUCUAAAUUACUUAUAAUACUUAUGUAUUAUCUAAAUGUAAAUGUUAUAUAAAUAGUUGUUGUAUUGUUUAGGGAAUAAUGAUAAGAAAAAAAAGGUUUACCUGUUCAGUAUAGAUACAACCAUUGCAGGCCUUUCCAUCUGUGCUUGGUUGAAUGGUUGAUUGAAUCUGUGAAUGUAGAACCUGUGGAUAGAGAGGGCCAACUGUAUAUAUACAGAUACACACACACACAUCCAUUAUUUAUACUUUUAAAGACCCAUUGGUGGAUAGAUUGCAGACAUAAUAUUUCCUUCCUCCAAGGUAUUUCAGUGAGUGUUUCCUAAGAACAGGACCAAGAUUUAACCCGAGUAUAAGCAUAAAAUCAGGAUGUUUAACAUUAAUUAAGUAUUAUUAUCUAAUCUACUAUCCAAGUUCAAAUUUUGCCAAUUACAUUUUAUAGCUAUUCCUCCAAUCCAAGAUUCUACCUGUCACAUCUCUUUUCUCUCCUUUCUUCCUUUCUGUCCCUCAGGAAUCUUUAUCUUUCGUGUCCUUAACAUUUUAUUUUAUAGACUGUUCCUAAGUUUGUGUUUGUGUGAUGUUUUUUAUGAUUAUGAAUUUUUUUGCAGAAAUACUACAAAGGUGAUAUUUUCUUCUCAGGACAUCAUGUCAGGAGGCACAUAGUAUCAAUUUAUACCAUUACUGAAGGUGUUAACUUUGGUUGCUUGAUUAAGAUUGCCAAUUCCUCAGUAUAAAGGUUCUAUCAUUUGCAUUCCCACCAGCAAUGAAAGAGAGUGCCUCACAGCCUUGCCAGCAGAAUGUGUUGCCAAGAUUUUUAAUUUUUUGCCAAUCCAAUAGAAGAGAAAUGGUGUCUCAGGACAUAUUGAAUUGAAUGCUAACAAUACUGACAUUGACAACAUGACCUGUAGCUAUUGGUGGAGAGAGCAUGGUGCCUGGCACAUAGGAGGCAAACCACGGAUGCUGACUCGUACUGCACGUGUGAUGUUCCUAUUGACAGAGGAUGGCUGAGAACUGCAAAGGGUUGCUGCAUGGAGGCAUUCGGGCCCUGGUGAGAGUUGGAGUGGAUGCUCCCUCGAGCUCCCUUCUAUAAACGAAAACCAACUAUUCAUUGAUCAUCUGGGUCCAAAAAGAAAGAGUCAACGCUCAUUAACAUUUGUUUCUUUCCUUCCAGAAAACACUAUGAUUCCAGGUUCGGGUAGUUCUUAUUAUAACUUCUAGAAUUGGAGGCCAGGAGAGCUGAGGCUAGUGUACUUGGUAAGGUGGCUCUGUGUUACUGUGGGAAGCUCCUUUCAGACAUGGUUCCCUGCUUUGUCCCAGUGGUGUAGUCAUGGUCCACAGUGAGACUCACAUCCAGCUUAGCUCCCAGGAAGAGUGCUAGUGUUCCAGGGCACCUCAGGAGGGCUUGCACACUCCAACGCCACCGUUUUCCUGCGUCCUUGCCUAUAUUUCAUGAACUAGGUUUCAUGACUCCACUUUCCUUUUUUAAAAAUUUAAUUAAAAAUAAUUUCAUACGUAAUAUAUGCCUAUCCUAGAAACAUAGAAAAUAUAGGUGAUCAAAAAGAAGAAAAUAGGGUAUUCCUGAAACCUAACACCUUAAGAUAAAUUCUAUUAACAUUUUGAAGUAACACUUUCAAAAUUGUAAAAUUUAUAUGAAAUUCACAUUUCGGUGUCCAUAAAUAAAGUCUUAUUGGGACACAAACACACUCCUCUGUUUGCGUAUUAUAUAUGGCAGCAUCCUCAAUACAACAAUAGAGUAGUUGUGACAGAGAUUGCAUGGCUCACAAAGCCUAAAGUAUUUGCUAUCCGGCCCUUUACAGAAAAAGUUUGCUGACCCCUGGUAUAAAAAAUUUCUAUUUUGGUAACUUGAUCAUCUGCUUAAUGAUAUAUCUUAAAUAUCUUUCCAUGUCAAGAAACUUCUUUCUCCAAAAUACUUUCAGUUUUUCAUUAAAAAACAGUACAUUUGUUUUGUCCAGGUCUAUUGUCUUUGUCAGUCAUAAAAUGUAACGUCCUUAUCAGUUUUUAUAGUAUUUUCCAUUUACAAAGCAUUACUAUCUCAUUUAAUUCUCACAGCCACCCAGUGAGUUAGACAUUAUGAGUUCAUAAAAAUUCUUUGCUUUCAAGUAACAGAAACCAACUUAAAUGGCUGAAAUAAGAAAACGGGAUUGAAGAAGAUUGGUUUAAGAUUAUGGAAUUUCCCAUGGAAACUUUGGGCAGGGCUGCAGCGGUGCUUGUUCUAGAAGGGCCUGGAAAGUGGUGGCAACUCUCUUGGUCCCCUCUCACCUUCUUUGGGUGUCUGCUUUUUAAUCUUUUUGUGUAGAUCGUCUUCCUCUGCAGGUCAGUACAAGUGAAGUCCGGUUGCUAAUAGUGUGAGAUUCCAUGUUACUGGUCCCACCACUCUGAAGGAGCCUAAUUGUUCCCUUUCGAGCCCAAUUCUAAAUAUUAGUAUCAGGAAGAGAAAUGUAGUUGACCUACUAUUGGCCAGAUUUUACUCCUGGUCCAGUUCCUAUAACCAUGGUAGAAAAUGGCUGCCGGGGAAAAAUUUACAAAAUGGUUCUUCUUUAUAUUGGGGACAGUUAAGAGGGGUAAUUGUGAAUUACACAGAUACUUCAAAAGUUAUCUGCUUUAUUCUGUUGCUCCCAUUUUACAGAGAAGGAAAUUGAGUUUUAGAGACACCAAGUGAAUUACCUAAGUAGCAAAGUAAUUGGUCAAAUAUAAAUCUCCAGACUCCAAUCCCAGGUGUGUUUUGAGUAUACUCAACUGCUGCGGACUCGGGACGUUACAAUAGUAACAUCCUAUUCGGCUGCCAGUCAUGGUUCGCUCAUUUUUCAUCUUGUUGCUUGAUAUGUCAUUGGAAUCUGAGAAUUCACUCUGUGUCACUUACUUUGUCUCCAGGCCACAGCUGGGAGCUGGAUGGACAGACAUAGGUUUUGGAAUUUUGUCCUGCUUGAAUGCUAUGCUCAGAGUGCUUUGAUCCAUCAAUGGAGAGAAAUUGAGUGAAAAUGAUCCGCAUGCCAAUCUGGGCUAGCAUCUCAUUGCUUAGCCUGGUUUUUGUCUCACAUCUUUGUGUCUGAUGCCAGCAACUAAAUUUCCAAGUUCGAUUAGCAAUGGUUACAGCCCAGUGAGCACGAAUCCAGAAAUUGCUUUGACAUGUUGUUUCAUCAGUGAGAGCUGUAGCCACAAAACCUGCUACUGAACCAACUGAGGAGGAUGUCUCGGGUACCGUGACUCUGAUUCUGGGGCACUUGUUGAAUAAAAUAUACCAUGAUUUAUGGAUUUUUUUUCUCUUAGGUUGAAUGAGUAAAAUGAGUCAUGCGGUUUUGUAAAAUGUAGCUCUAAGAUGGCUCUGGAAACUGCGGGCUUGCUGGUGAAAUUCCUUUAUGUAGACGGGAACUCAGGUGUGGAGGUGCAGUGGGAAUUUGUUGUUUGUCACUCCAGUAACCAUUCCUUUCUUCUUCCCUUCUCCCUCUAACUAUGCCCUGAACGUACCCCUUUUCCGUGUGGUUUGGGAGUGGGUAUGAUUGACCCACACCAACCUGUGUAUUCUUUCCCCCGGUUGUGGUUAUUAAUUUGGAUUUAGUCAAAUGACUCAUUUCAGGACAAUGAACGAUCCCAGGACCAGGGUAUGUGCUAUGGGAACUGACAUUUUCUUUUCUAUAGAUCAUCUAGGAUAAGGAUGUGGGGUCUGAAACUGAGGCAGCCAUUUUGUCAUAAGAGUAAAGCUUGAGCUGUUGUGUGUGUGUGGGGCAUGUCCACCACGUGGAGUCUGAUGAUGACGCCUGUCCAUGGGAGGAAGAGCUAAGAGACAGAAAGAAGAAAAGACACCAAGCGUCCUUGGUGAUAAUGUCUGAGCUGCCAAAUCAACAAGCUUCUUUGAAAGCCCACCCUAACUCUGAAUGGAUUGCUUAAGCCAUUUGAGCUGAGUUUUAAAUGAUUUGUAUAAAAAAAAUUCCUAUCAGAUACAAGUAGUAUCACUAAUUGUCUGCUCUGAAUAGAUUCUAUUUGCUUAGUUAUCUGACUGGCUUCUUCCAAAGCUGGACAACGUUACUUGAUGGCCAGCGGGUGCUGCACAAACCAGUAAAGGAUGGUGAACUAGCUCCCAAUUUGGACCCAGCUCCCCAGUUGCACUGCUAGGGUAUGUUUUUGUCAGCAUUGAAAGAUGAGUGAUUGCUUUAUUUGACAGUGUUUGAGGUCUUUUGAUAGAAAGGGAAAUAAUUAUAUAUCAAUCUGUUAAAUGACUCCUUUUCUUCCUUAUGGUCUACAUUUAUGAAUGUGGAACUCAAGCCCAAGUGGUGUCUUCUCUGACUUUUGGCUGAUGAAGUUUCACUAGGGAUGCUCUGGAAGGUAGGGAAUGUCUUGGUGAAUCUGUAUCAUUGAGACAAUUCCUUUCCCCACGUGAGUACUUGGCUUAGGAGGGUGUAUGGGGCUCAAUUCUGGCCAGUGAGACAUGAAUGCAAGUCUACUGGGGGUGGGAUGGCUUCAGGGAAAGGUUCUAAGCCCUUUGAAGAACAGGGGACCUUGAUGUCAUUGAACUGCUUUCCCUUUCUGCUUCUUCUUAUGUGAGACUGUUGUCUCACUAUUCUUAUUGUUGUCUUAUUAUGUAAGGCUGGGUUUUUUUUUUUUCUUUUUUCUCUCCUAAUUUAUGCCACAGAAAGCAUCCUGAUGCAUUCCGCCAGGACCACAUGAAGUAAGGGAGUGUUGAUUCCCCCAAGAGGGAUGCUGAGAGAACCCCCUUCCUCUGCAAAAAAAAAAAGAAAAAAAAAAGGAAAGAAAGAAAAAGGAAAACUAUAUCUGCUAUGGUUUUACAUUUAUCUGGACGUCCUGAUUCUCUGUGCACAACUCUACCCCCAGCCAUAGACAAGGAGCAGUCGGUGUGACUACCAGAUUUGGGGGUUAUUUUGGGUAAAGUAGUGGGGCUUGAAUAUUAUACUCAGAUUACCAUAAAUUUGCUAGCCCACUCUCUUGCACACUUUAGAAACAUGGUUUUUGUAAGUGAAUGCAGGGGCGGUAUUUAAAAAUACUUAAGCAUUACAGUAAUAUAAGUUAAUGUAUAACUCAACCUAUGCAUAAAAAAUUAAACAUGUAGUCCUUUUUAUUCUCUGAACUAAACUUAUAAAACUGCUUACCAAGUGAUAAAAUUUUUAGUCCAGAGGCCAGCCCCGUGGUUGAGUGAUUAAGUUCACACCCUCCACUUCUACAGCC